UACAGAGGGGGCAAGCGUUAUUCGGAAUUACUGGGCGUAAAGGGCGCGUAGGCGGCUUGGCAAGUGGAUGGUGAAAUCCCUCGGCUUAACCGAGGAACGGCCGUCCAAACUGCUUCGCUUGAGACCGGGAGAGGUGAGUGGAAUUCCCAGUGUAGCGGUGAAAUGCGUAGAUAUUGGGAGGAACACCAGUGGCGAAGGCGGCUCACUGGACCGGUACUGACGCUGAAGCGCGAAAGCGUGGGGAGCAAACGGG
rnacentral:rRNA from 1 species